GACGAACGCUGGCGGCGUGCUUAACACAUGCAAGUCGAACGAAGUGGCGAACGGGUGAGUAAUACGUGGGUAACCUGCCCGAUAGAGGGGGAUAACUACUGGAAACGGUAGCUAAUACCGCAUACUAUCGGAUGAACCCAUCUGGGUUUAGCUAGUUGGUGAGGUAAUGGCUCACCAAGGCACGAUCCCUAGCUGGUCUGAGAGGAUGAUCAGCCACAUUGGGACUGAGAUACGGCCCAGACUCCUACGGGAGGCAGCAGUGGGGGAUAUUGCACAAUGGGCGAAAGCCUGAUGCAGCGACGCCGCGUGGGGGAUGAAGGCUUUCGGGUUGUAAACCUCUUUCGCUAUCGAACGGGUAGGUGGAGAAGAAGCGCCGGCUAACUACGUGCCAGCAGCCGCGGUAAUAC
rnacentral:rRNA from 1 species